rnacentral:rRNA from 1 species
GUCCACGCCGUAAACGAUGGGUGCUAGUUGUUAGGAAGUUUACUUCUUAGUGACGCAGCUAACGCGUUAAGCACCCCGCCUGGGGAGUACGGUCGCAAGGCUAAAACUCAAAUGAAUUGACGGGGGCUCACACAAGCGGUGGAGCAUGUUGCUUAAUUCGAGGCAACGCGAAGAACCUUACCUGGGUUUGACAUGUACGGAUCAACCCCGUGAAAGCGGGGCCACAGUCGCAAGACCGGAACGUGCACAGGUGCUGCAUGGCUGUCGU